rnacentral:rRNA from 1 species
AGAGGAAGGAGAAGUCGUAACAAGGUUUCCGUAGGUGAACCUGCGGAAGGAUCAUUGUCGAUACCUGCAUAGCAGAAAGACCCGCGAACUUGUCUUACUACCGGGACAAGCAGGAGGUGGGUCUUUGGCUCCUUUUUGCUGUCCCCUGUCGGGGAGUGGGUUCGGAGUCCCAAGGGGCAAAGAGCUCGUUCCUCGGCCAAACAACAAACCCCGGCGCGAAUUGCGCCAAGGAAAUUGAACAAGAGAGCACGCUCGUCUCCCGUUUACGGGCGGUACGAGGCAGUGUGUCUUACGUAAAACUAAACGACUCUCGGCAACGGAUAUCUCGGCUCUCGCAUCGAUGAAGAACGUAGCGAAAUGCGAUACUUGGUGUGAAUUGCAGAAUCCCGUGAACCAUCGAGUUUUUGAACGCAAGUUGCGCCCGAAGCCAUUAGGUCGAGGGCACGUCUGCCUGGGCGUCUCACAUCGCGUCGCCCCCCAUCCCCUCUCUUUGAAGGAAUGCGGGCGAAUAUUGGUCCCCCGUGCGCGUUCGUGCGCGGUCGGCCUAAAAAACGAGUCCCCUGCGACAGAGAUGACACGACAAGUGGUGGUUGUCAAACCGUUGCGUCCUGUCGUGUGCGCUCUUGUCGCCACGGGAAGUCUCUUGUGACCCUGAAGUGCCGUUGCUUUGCCACGGCGCCUUGAUUGCGACCCCAGUCAGGCGGGACUACCCGCUGAGUUU